UACAGAGGGGGCAAGCGUUGUUCGGAAUUACUGGGCGUAAAGGGCGCGUAGGCGGCCCGCUAAGUCGAACGUGAAAUCCCCGAGCUCAACUCGGGAACUGCGUCCGAUACUGGCGGGCUUGAAUCCGGGAGAGGGAUGCGGAAUUCCAGGUGUAGCGGUGAAAUGCGCAGAUAUCAGGAGGAACACCGGUGGCGAAGGCGGUUCUCUGGGCAUGUCCUGACGCUGAGGAGCGAAAGUGUGGGGAGCGAACAGG
rnacentral:rRNA from 1 species